rfam:Trichobilharzia regenti genome assembly, scaffold: TRE_scaffold0056431
GUGCUGCUGGAGAGUCCAAAACUAGGACGAAACAGCUGUCCAGAAC